rnacentral:misc_RNA from 1 species
CUUGCUUUAAUUUUAUAAGGUAAAAAAAGCUCACUGUCCCUACUAGGAGCCUUCCAAUCAUGACUAUGCUAGAACAUGAAAACGGUUUUCUUUAGCCCCAUCCCUGAUCAAUGGGGAAAACAAGAUUGAAGCAGCCUGCCUUGAAACACCACUACCCUUCAAUGUACGGCUCGGCAAGUUUUGAUAUCAGCCACCAUAUCGCGUCUUAAGGGAUUCUGGGGGCUCUUCUUCCAUUAUACCUGCACCAGUUGUUGCUAGAUACUCAUGGAUGGUUGUUUUACGAUCUCCAAGGAAAGUAUGAUCCAAAAAGUUGUCAUGAGCUACACUGCCCAGAUUCUUUGCUGCCAAUACACAGUGCCGAAGAUAAGUACGACAAGGUAAGAUAUCAUCUCUCCAGAUCUUAUGGAUGUUAAACCUUCCAUAAUGCUGAAAAUAAAUCUCCUUGCUCCCUUUGCAUCUAAUUUGGAAAAAUUCCUCAUCACUGUAACGAGCACAAAGCACCGCUGGACUAUCAAAUGGCUUGCAAUCAAGUGUAUCAGGUAUAACAGCUAGAAAUCGAAACUCAAGCUCCCUUUCCAUAAAAGCAGGGAUCUCUGAUUUAUCAAUCUCAAAAACUGUAACUAUAAGAGUUUCACCCUCGCAAGGCUCCACACUCAAGCUCGAAAUCUCCUUAGUUUCAGGCUUAGCGAUGCCACGUUCGAAGAAAACGGGCGCCACAUGAGCGAACACGCGCCGGAAUCCGUUCAAUCUCGCAACUCUGAAAUUUACCAGAUCAGGAAAUGUGCUUCUUGCGCUUCUUUCGGAGAGGAGAGAACCGAAGCCACAAAUGGAGAUGAGACCGGAGGGAGAAAGAACGCUAUGGAAAUCGGACUCGUCACUGAGUUCGGUAAUUCCCGGUUGAGAGAUAGCCGAGGACAUGAUAGGAGAGAGUCGACGGAGAGUUCUCCGGCGGAAAGAAUUGGGAGAUAAUUUAAGUGAGUAGAAUGUUGAACUGUUAAGAGGCAAGAGGGUGAUCGGAGAGUGAAAAGAACACGCGCGCCAGGGGGGUGAUGGAGGAGGUUGAAAGAAAGGGAAAGUGAGAGGGAGAGAGGCGUUCAUAUGAGAGAACAACUGGAAAAUUACAUUGGAAGGGUUGGCUGAUGACAAAC